CCUUUUUUUACAUAUGGGAAACCAAAAAGCAGGGGGAAUGUGGAGGAAAAAAACGAGGGAGGAGCCGACCUUCCCCCAGCGCCGACUUGCCUCUCACUGUCGUCGACCCUCGGACGACGGAGCUGUUCCGUGCCACCAUCUCGCAGCCCCGCUGCCCUCUCCCGCACCUUCUCCAAACUCAUCGGUGCCGGAAUCGGUAUUUUCGCCUCCGACGACGCAGGCGUUGUGUAACUCUGCCCGGUCGCCACGAGGUUUGUUUUCGACGGGAAUUGAACCGUCUGACCUUGGAGAUGGCGUAGAAAGGUCAAGCGCAAGCCCUACACGGCCGACGGCAUCAGAACCGCUAAGUAGAGUGCCGUCGCCGCCACUGUCGCUGCCCCUACAUCCUGGACGAAGUUCGUCGCCUCCACGCGCAGGAAUCCCCUCUGUGGCUUACUAGGCACUGUCGCUAGUGUCCUCCACCGCCAUUCGGACCUAGCUCGAGCUACGUCGUCGGGCGCCGCCUCUCCGACCCCGUCCACCAACAAGAUCAAGAUGUUGUGGGAGAUAAUCUUCGAAGAUUCAUCGUCGCGGGAAGAAGAAGAAGAGGAUGAAUUUGAGUUGGCGACUUCCGUGGUUGCUAUGGAGGAAGAUUUUAGGAGACCGAGGCGUGGUUCCAGUUUGGUCAAAGGUUGUUUCUUCGAGAUAGCAUCAUGGGUCAUGAUGGUCUUAUGAGGGAUUUCUUUAUGUAAUACAAUAUACCCGCCUUAAUUUUUUUGGCAUCGAUUCCGUAUACACCUGGAUCUCUUCAACACCAUUGUAAAAGCUAUGGAAAAACAGGAUCGUUGCUUUCAACUGAGAAGGAGUGCAGCGGGAACAUCAAGUGCAAGUUCAUUGGUGAAGGUUAUAGCGGGCAUGUAUGGAUGUCUCACCGGUGCCAUUAAUGACUAGGUUCGCAUUGGGGAAGUUCUCAUCCUCGAGUGUGUGAGACGAUUCUACGCAGUUGUGAUCGAGAUUUGUGGACCGGAGUACUUGAGGGCUUCCACUAAUGAAGAUACCGAGAGGCUCAUGGCAGAAAAUGAAGAGAGAGGUUGUCAAGGGAUGCUUGGAUCCAUUGACUGUAUGAAUUGGACAUGGAAGAAUUGUCCUGUCGCAUGGCAAGAUCAGU